rnacentral:lncRNA from 1 species
AAUCUUCGAGAUUAUAUGGAGUAUUAUCACUUUUGUACCCGUUUUAUCCCAUUCAAACUCUACAUUAUGAAGCAAGAUGACCAUAAUAUGUGAUUUUUAGCUUGUAUACAUCAGUUUGUGGUGCAUCGGAAACUGUAUUUUUUACACAAAGAGUACAAACUAGAGCACAUUUCACGGAAUCUAGAUGACUAUGUUGAAUUUGGCACCAUAAAGGUAAGAAAAAAU